UGAAGCUGGAUUCGCUAGUAAUCGCGCAUCAGCCACGGCGCGGUGAAUACGUUCCCGGGCCUUGUACACACCGCCCGUCAAGCCAUGGGAGCCGGGGGUACCUGAAGUGCGUGACCGCAAGGAGCGCCCUAAGGUAAAACCGGUGACUGGGCUAAGUCGUAACAAGGUAGC
rnacentral:rRNA from 1 species